UACGUAGGCAGCGAGCGUUGUUCGGAGUUACUGGGCGUAAAGGGUGUGUAGGCGGUUCCUUAAGUUUGCUGUGAAAUCUCCCGGCUUAACCGGGAGGGUGCGGUGAAUACUGAGGGACUAGAGUACGGGAGAGGAAAGUGGAAUUCCUGGUGUAGCGGUGAAAUGCGUAGAUAUCAGGAGGAACACCGGUGGUGUAGACGGCUUUCUGGACCGUAACUGACGCUGAGACACGAAAGCGUGGGUAGCAAAGCAGG
rnacentral:rRNA from 1 species